CCCUAUUGUUAUUCAAAUUAGGUAUUUGAAUAACAAUACGGGGGUCUCGUGACCGUACUUGUCCCGGGGGGGGGGGGGCUGUGCACUGAAUAACCAGACUCUGGUUAUCCUAUUAAAGGAAAGCCGCGCAGACCCAGGGAUCAAGCUUGUUUUGACUUCAUUUCCCUUGCAAUGUUUUUUUUUCUAAUGAUAAGAAGCACCAGAAAAUGAAACACCAGCGACAAAAGAGCACGAGCGAAAAAAAAAAGCGGGAACCAUACCUCUAGACGUGACGCUAGAGCGGUGUUGCAUGAUGUCCCCGAGAUUUCGGCGCGCGGAUUGCUCAAACUGUGAACUAAGUUUCAGACACCAGUCGGCUCCCGACCGUAUGAGACAGUUCCCUUUCAUCCACCAGCUCUGUUCACACCCUUUGGUAAAAUCAAUUUCUAUAUAUAUAAAGCUGUUUCAGAUAUAUUUCAUCCAUGUGGUACUUAUUUUGUCUCCUGAAACAUUGUACAUUUGUUAUUUACACAUGCGCUAUUGCAAGACCACUUAUUUCAAGGUUCAGCACCAUUUUGAAGUUAUUUUGUCCUCUAUGUGGUUCGUAUUGGUACGAAAUAUAUACACUACGAUUAAAACACUACACAGAUGUAUUACAAUAUGCCGCUGGCGCAGUCAACGUGCUAAUUUUGUGAGUUUACGAAGGGAAACGGUGUAAACCACACGCUGAUUGCUUCUUGGUGGAAAGGUUUUCGACAAGCAGAGCGAUCAGAAAUCUGGAAUGGAUAAACCGCAGGCACCUGAUUAUACUUAGUUAUCACUGAUUAUACUUAGUUAUCAUUGAUUGAGUUGUAAUAAGGUACUUAUGAAGAACAUUUGCUUAAAUUCACGAUGUACUUUAUAGUACCAUUCCGAACCCCAAUCCACAACAGGAAGUACUGAUGAAAAAAUAAAAGAGGUUGCAGAGUAAGACUAAGUAUUUUGAGCAAAAAAAUAAACGCUGAAUGGCUGAACCGACCAUAUCGUCAUGAUCCUUUUCUUAAGGAAAAGAAGGGGGCAGCGUUAUGAUUUUAUGAUUAGUUCAGUUUGGAAAGGUUAAAAAUAAAAAGACGGAACGAAACAGUAGGUCGUUCAAUAAGGUGAUGUUAUGCCAUACGUCAAUGAAACAAGCAAAAUACUUA